rnacentral:lncRNA from 1 species
CUUGCUAUGGUUAAGAGCUGCAAAAGGGGUGGGGGAGGGGGAGAGUCUUUAUAGACCAAACCCAGGCUGUGGGAAUUUCAAGCCAUGAAGCAUGAGCCCAGCUGUAGCCAGAGUACUCCUGGGUACUGGGAGCAAUAGUAGCAUCUCAGCUCCAGGUUCACACUGUCACCCAAUCACUUUGCAUAUUAAACUGCUACUGAACUCUUAAGGACCAGCAGACACACCAUUUGUUAAAAUCACAAUGCAUCCCUUCUGCUGCCAAAGAUGGAACUGUAAUUUUCCCCUGCUCUCAAAAUAAAUACUUUGAUGGUUCUGAAAAAUUUUAGCAAUUAGCUUGUACCAUCACCUCUAAUUAGCCACUGGCAAACACAAUUGAGAUAAUAAAGCUUACCGAGGGAAAAGCAUGAAUAAGCACCAGAUUCUAAAUCUACUGGGGAAGUGACCCUGGUGAAUCAUUUAGUAGUCACUGUAAUGUAAUUUUGCAGGUUUGUUGUACACACACCACAGAGAACAUAUUAAGUGGGUCUGAGCCAUAAGAGAGUCUUAAUGAUUAAUUUGCCAUAUGCUCCUGAAAAUCUCAUUUUUUUUGAGAAACAAUACACAUCUACUCUUUUUCUUAUUAAUAAAACUACCAAGAAAAUAAAACAACUUUUCUUUCCAUCCUACUAAUGACUCCCUCUAACUUGCAUAGAUAUCCAGGGAUUGGUCUUUUUAAAAAAAUUAUAUCUAAAUUCCCGCAGAAGCUAGUAGAACACAGCAAUUUACUCUCCUAUUAUGUGUUUGACUUCAAUUGUUGGCAACUGCUUUUUAAUAAUUUUUAUUGACUGUUCCACAGUGACAUCAUGGGGAAGAUAAUUAUUAUUCUUUUUUAUUUACAGAAAAAACACCACUUUGGGGUAAAGUGGCACGCCUGAGAUUCCAGCACGAGGAAGUCUAGAUGACAACCCAGCCUUCAGAUUCCCAGUAUGUCUCACAUGGAAAAAGCAAAACUAAAAUCCACCACUUUGAAUGGCAAAAAGCGACCAUGAGUAGAGAGUCCCGUAUCACAGCAAGACCUUCACCUCUGUGAAACUCAGUUUCUAGUUUGAGGGUUUCUGACUCAUGCAACCAAUGGUACACAUUGAUUAUAAUUCCAUGGUUGGAGCUGCUAUCAGAGUCUGGCCUGAUGUCAGUUGUUAAAGCCAAGAGUCAAGAACUCAAGAGAGAGAGGAGAAGGAGGUCAGUCGGUCAUGGUAAACUUGCUUUGACAAUGCCAGAGCAGAUCCAGCCCCUUCUUGAAGCUGGGGAGCUCCUAUGAUGAAAAGAGACAGCUGGGGGAUGUGGCCUCUCCCUGUGAGGAAUGAUGUGGGGGCAGUAACUGCUGGGAGCUUCAUUCAGCCUCACACAGGGCAUCUGAUCCAUUUUGUCUUGCUCGACUUGGCUGAUAAUUUCAUCUUUCAGCCAGGAGCAGAAGAGACUUGGGGAACUUCUGUUCUGGACCUAAUUCUGAUCAACUAGGAAAAAUUGCUUGGCAAAAUGGAUGUGACAGGAACCUCAAGAGAGAAGAACAACAUCAUUCUGGGGUUUGUGAAAGCUGAAAGGAUGGGAGGCUGGGCAGUUAGAAUUCUAAGGCAGUGAUGUUUAUACACUUAUUCAGCAAGUUCUUAUUCAGCACAGGCUCUGGGCCAGGCAGCGUCCUUAAUGCUGGUACUACGACAUGAAUAAAGCAAAAUCCCUACCCUCAGGAGGCUUCUAUUUGAUGGUAAGCAAACAAAGAACAAAACCAUUUCAGAUAGUUUUUAAAUUCUAUGCAAACAAUGAAGCAGGGUAAUGGGACAGUGAAUGGGAAUUGGUUGAGUCUAGAUCAGGUGGUUUGGAAGUCCUCCCUGGUGUGGGAUAUUUAGGCUGAAACCCAGGUGACGAGAAAGAACCAGUUAUACAAACAGUAAGUUAUGGAAGAAUCAGCAAAUGCAAAAAUCAGCUGGGGAGAUCUGUCAUGGUGUGAUCAAAGAUCGAAAGCAGCAGAAGCUUUUCCUAAGAGUGAUGGUGGCUCUGAGAGAUUUGCAGAGGAGUGUUUCCAUUACAAUACUAUUGCAUUUGAACUUGGACCAUCAACUUGGUGAUCUUGGGGAAUAUUCCAGUAUAGAGGAUGAAACAGAUUGUUCAUAUGCACUUAGACCAAAAUUGAUGGUCAUUAGCGUCCAGCUUAUCACCACAAACAGAAUUAGACCCUCUCCACAUUUUUUAGAGGGUCAGGUUUAAUAGACUAAUAGAGCAGCGGGAGGCAGACACAGUGUACUGUGAUUUCAGCAGACCAUUCGAUGAGGUACCUCAUGUUUUUAUGGACAAAUUAGAAAAAUAAUGGUGGCAUUCUGGUUUAGCCAGCUAAAUGGUUCCAAAGGAAAAACAAAACAAAACAAAACAAAAAACAGGGUCUUGGAGAAGAGGGUCUAAACUUGAUAUGUGUUUCUAGAAGAUAAAACCAGGACCAAAGGCUGGAAAUUAUGGGAAAGCAGAUUUUAACUCAGUAUAAGGCUGACCUUUCUAAGAAUAAGAGAUGUCCUGAAGCUGCUUUGGAAUUAGGACGAAGAUGAGUAAAAUUGAUGCAGCAGAUGGUGAAUGUUUGGGGGACUGGUCUCAUCCACCAUGAUAAUCUAGGAUUAUAGAUUUAGGAGAAAUAACUGAACAAUUGUUUACGUGCCAUUUUCUCUCUGUAGUUUAAUAAUGAUUUCUCUCUAUAAUAAAGGCUGUGCCAAUCACCCAGGUGAGAAACCUCAGCCUCUUCACUUACUCCUCCCUCUCCUCUGGCCCUGACAUUCCAUCCCUUUGGACUCCUUCUCCUCAUUCCCACAACCUUUGCCCUGGUGCAGACUCCCACAGUCUCUGAACUAUUGGGGUGGCCUCCCGAUUGCCCUCCAGCUUCUGCUCUUUUUUCUCACUGCUUGUGUGUGGCCUGAAUAGCACUUUAAAAAACUGAUAUCACAUCAAACCCCUCUAGUAAAACCUCUACUAGUUCUUCUUUUCCCCCAAAAAGUACUACACAAUCUUUGGAAUGUUUCCAAGGCUCUGACCUCGUUUAAUGCACAUCUGCCCUGCUCCACCCAUGCUGUGAAAGUCCAGCCUCUCAGGCUCUCUCCAAUAUCACCUCCUCUAAGAAACCUCCUGUUUCCCUAAUCAAGGGUAAUUCCACUUUCACACUUAUUCCCACACAAUAUUCACCUUAAUUAAAC